ensembl:lncRNA
GUAAAACUGGGUGGGUAGUAGCUUUCGGAGUGCUUCUUCAGCCAGUUUACUUCUGCUUAAUGACAGCAGAGGGUUCAUUCCCCCAUAGACCACCCCCUCUCCCGCUUCCUCCACUGUCAAGUGAGAAACUCACGUGGAUGAUUUUGUAAGGUAUCCCUGGUUCUAAGAGCCUCUGAUUCUGCCAUAACACUGACAUAGCUCCCAAUCCCCACCCGUACUGAAGCUGAGUAGCAAGAACUGAAACUUAAAGUGUGUUCCUCGGUCCUGGGGGAAGGGAAAUCUAGCAAUUUCCUAGUGACCUCAUGCAGCCCAGCCAUGGAGAGAAAGAGUAAGGAAUACAAGGUGAUAGGAGUAAGAUUUACGUUGAUAUAUUAGGUGACAGUUGCUGGCCAUGGCCCACCCUUUCAGCAGGGUUAGAAGCUGCUAGAAGGUAUUUUACCAGCUACGACAUAUAUAUGUGAGAAGGAGCCUCCUAUUGGGAACUUUUCCAAAGUCUAAUAAAGCUGUGCUUUGCUCCCUCUGACCUUGGCCCAGCAACAGCCCCCGGUACAUAGUUGUAUACUCCCCGUUGUGGGUUCCUCCAGUUGUGGCAUGUGGGACGCCGCCCCAGCGUGGCCCGAUGAGCAGCGCCAUGUCCGCGCCCAGGAUUCGAACCAACGAAACACCGGGCCGCCUGCAGCGGAGCGCGCGAACUCAACCACUCGGCCACGGGGCCAGCCCCUAUAAUUCACUUUCUUAAGGCAAUUUUGGUGAAUAACUGUUAACCAAUGUGGUGACAAUUGAACUGGGUGAGGGUGACUUGGAGAUUUCCAGCAGGAGGUGUGGGAAAAAGGCUUUCUGGGUGUGUGGAAUGGUAUGAAAAUGUAAAAGAGGGUAGUAGUAGUGGAGAACAGUGUGGCAUUUAGUCUCAUUGGACCAUAGGGCUAGGAAAAGGGACAUGGGAUUGUUGGAAGAUGAGGCUGGUAAGGUCAGUUGGUACAGAUUAUGGAGGGUCUUGCCAAUGCAGGUCUUCAGAAUUGUUUCUAGCUGUAUGAAGCCAUGAGGUAGACUUAAGCAGAGCGAAUGGGGCAAGGGUCCUGAUUAGAUUUACAUUUUAUAAAGAUCAUUUUAAGGGCAGUGGUAGAUGGAAGCUAAAAGAUGAGUUAGAAAGCUGUUCAAUAGGGUGUGAUGAGAGGGGUUGUGAGUGAGAACCAAGACAAUAGUAAGGGACGGCACUCCAUGUCCAGACAGGAAACAGAUGUAGACGUGAUUAAAUGUAGUAAAGCUUGGAAAAGCCAUGUAGAAUUAAAAUGAAGGCAAGAGGCACAGGCAUAAUAUUGAGGUACUUUCCAAGCCACCCCUGGUGGGUAGAUGCCAUCUCAUUGGAAGAAGGAAAGUGACAACUGCUGAUAAGUCUUAGACAAAUGUCAGUAUGGUAGAUGCCCUGGAGGUUCUGGAAAAUUUUAAAUUCCAUUGAAUAGCAACCAGAAUAAUAACAAGGAUCUUUUUGCUGGCCUGAAUGGAGUUGCAGUGGUAACAAUAACAGACAGCACAAAAUAAAGUUGAUGUUUUCUCCUUGGUCUUAGGGGCUGAUGGUGACUUCAAAGAGGAUGGAGAAAACGUCUGUAUGUCUGAGCUGACCUCCUCAGCCAGCUGUGCUUGUCAGCCUCAGGCCUCAGUUUCCCCGUGGGUGUGAGUGGUCACCAACGCAAUGCUCUAGUUCGGGCUACACUACUGAAGUAGUUGCGCGGCUGUGGGUAUGUUACCUCCCCUCUCCAGGAUUACUUUAUAGUAAGAGAGGGCUGUAAUAGGUGAUCUUGGAGACUUUCUCUGGAAUUCCUACUGUUUGUCACUCUGGGUCUAGCUUGGCAUGCAUUGAGAGUCCCGAUAAAGGUUUGUUGAAUAAAUGAAUGAAUGAACAAAGCAGGGUGCCUUGGAGGGAACACACGAAAAGUGUAAAGUGCUCAUUUAGGGUCUGAUUUCAAGAAGAAAUUCUUCUCUUGGGGUGAUGGAGAGGGAGGAAGUGGGAAAGGUGUUCAGCCUUGAAUCAUGGAAAAUGACCACACUGAAAUCAGAUCUUUUCUGCCGGGUGUGGAUUUGUUCCCAGGUGUCAGCCUGCAGAGUUGGGUCAUCGACCAGCUGCGAUGCUGCACAGGUUGUAUUUUUUCUCUGAAACAUUUGGUAGAACAUUUCAGGCUGGGUUGGAGGGAGGAGGGGAGGAUUAUCUGAACCAGAUGUUUGGGGGCCAUCUCUCUGACACAAGUGAGUAAUUAGUUUUAAGUGAUUAUCCAUGUGACCAGUCUGGGAGCAUUCACCUCUCUGGGCUGGGGAAGCAAGGCUUGGCUGGCUACACCCUGACUAGAGAAGAAGUGAGAGGUAUGGAGGGCUGUGUACAGGUGUGUACCUGUUCUGAAAGAUUCUUUCCAGAAAAAUCUUCAUCAGUCGAGUAUAAAUGGCUGCAUGGGGUGCUGGGGCAGAUGGGUCUGGGAUGGCUCUGAAGAGUCCUAGAGCCAGAGUGGCAAAGCAAUUACAAAACGCUUCUGUAAUUGCUCUUCAGUAAUUGUAAGAACAGCACAGAUUUAGAGGAAUGUCACUCUCAACGUGGAACAUGUGAUGGGCCUGGGGGUGUCCUGCAGGAACCAACUGCUGAGGGUCAUCCUAGAUACUGGACAUGCCAGCUGAGGGGGUCUGGCUAGGUGGCAGUUGAAGAGCAGCUGCCCUGCCAUUCUCCCAGCCCUACAUAGCCUCCAUAGCCUUGGUUCUAUGUCAACCUUGUUAUGCUUAAGACGCCAGGCAGAGAGGGACGGGAAACCCUAUUUUGACUGACAUGAACCUCAUGGUGGGAAUAGGGGCUCAGAACAGAACUUAUAUUGAAUUCUAGAAAAAAAAGCCACAUUUCUUGCAUACGUGUGUCCAUGACACUCAUGAGAUUUGUACCUGCAAGAAAAAUGAGUAUGAUGAAGUGACAGAAUUGCUGCCACUGGAAGUCCCAGUGGGUUACAGCAGGGAAACAAAAGAGGGAAGGACAGUGCCCCCUGGGGAGGCUGGAAAGGCUUAGACAAGGCAAGAUCUAGAUCAAAGAUCACAAGUUCAACUUUUAACAAUAGGCUAAUAAAAUCUGCCUUUUUCACAUUUAAUUUAAAACACAAAAGGCUACAGAGAGGAUGAUUUUAAACGUGCAAUGGCCUUUUUGGCUUCCAUGGGAGGAAACUCUCAAGGCAUUAUUCCCUUCAUUUCCAUUCCCUGUGUCCUCUCUGGCCUAUCCUCCAGCAGGUUCCUGUUUUCCUUGAACUCCGGGGGAGGAAGUGUGAGAUAUUUCGUUUGAGACCCACAGCUCAUCAAGGGAGGGUGUUGCUCUCCAUGAGCUGUCCUCAUUGGGCCUCUGUGGGUUUGGUAGUCAUCCUCCAUCUGCACCUGAAAUGCAGGCUGCUGGACGGCGGAUGGAGAGGGGAGGUGGUGGACAAUCCUGCUUCUACUCUAAGGAGGAAGAACUACUGUUUGCCACCUUUGUUCCACCACCAAGACCAAAUGCAUUCUGAGCCUUCUCUGUAUGUAGGACACUGUGCUUAAUUCUUAAUAUGGGUUAGCUUUUGCAAUCCUUACAACAAUCUCACGCUGCAGACACAAUUACUACUCAAAUCUAACAGGUGAGGAAACUGAGGCACAGGAAAUUUAAUGGUACAUUUAUGAUGCGGGGUCGGUGAGCCGAGGAGUCGAAAGAAAGAUUUCUUAGACUCUUAAGAUCUGUCAGUAGUGCUCUUUUAUUUAGAGAAUAGUAUAGAAUAGCAUGGGGACAGGACCCAUGGGCAGUCAGAGCUUCUGCUGCCACUGCUUCUGCUGCCCCUGCUGGCAUGGGGACAGGGCCCAUGGGCAGGCAGAGCUGGUACGUGGGGACAGGACCCACGGGCAGUCAGAGCUCCUGCUGCUGCCCCGAGUUGAGGGUUAGGGCUAAAUUUAAGGCAUAGGUAUAUGAUUCAUCUCUUUACAAGACAAAGGAAAGAACAUGAAAAAAAGUUAAAAUGG